AUUGAACGCUGGCGGCAGGCCUAACACAUGCAAGUCGAGCGGAUGAAGGGAGCUUGCUCCUGGAUUCAGCGACGGACGGGUGAGUAAUGCCUAGGAAUCUGCCUGGUAGUGGGGGAUAACGUCCGGAAACGGGCGCUAAUACCGCAUACGUCCUGAGGGAGAAAGUGUGGGAUCUUCGGACCUCACGCUAUCAGAUGAGCCUAGGUCGGAUUAGCUAGUUGGUGGGGUAAAGGCCUACCAAGGCGACGAUCCGUAACUGGUCUGAGAGGAUGAUCAGUCACACUGGAACUGAGACACGGUCCAGACUCCUACGGGAGGCAGCAGUGGGGAAUAUUGGACAAUGGGCGAAAGCCUGAUCCAGCCAUGCCGCGUGUGUGAAGAAGGUCUUCGGAUUGUAAAGCACUUUAAGUUGGGAGGAAGGGCAGUAAGUUAAUACCUUGCUGUUUUGACGUUACCAACAGAAUAAGCACCGGCUAACUUCGUG
rnacentral:rRNA from 1 species